rnacentral:tmRNA from 1 species
GGGGUUGGGUUGGUUUUGACAGCAGGAUAGAGGCUCGGGCAAGCACGCAGUUAUAGGUGGCAGAUAACUUUAAACCCGGCUACAAGAAAUUAAUUGGCGAAAAUACUUACGCUCUUGCUGCCUAACCGAAGUAUAGUAAGUUAGCUUUAUCGGCACAAGGUGCUGAGCAAGACGCUCCUCCAAAGAUUUACAACUUUCAAUCACGGGACAAAGGGGUGCAUCAUUUAGAAAGUUUAGUUAGUGGUUUUCUUCGUAUCGCUAAUGAAAAUUUAGAAGAUAAGUUAAAGGAAAGUGUGUCUGUUCACUGCCUUUUCCUGACAAAGAGUAACAGAAUAAGCGUGUAGAAAACUUGAAGUUUCUCUUGUUUGGACCAGGGUUCGAAUCCCUGCAACUCCACU